UACAGAGGUCCCGAGCGUUGUUCGGAUUUAUUGGGCGUAAAGGGUGCGUAGGCGGCGGAGUAAGUUGGGUGUGAAAUCUUGGAGCUUAACUCCGAAACUGCAUUCGAUACUGCCGUGCUUGAGGACUGGAGAGGAGACUGGAAUUUACGGUGUAGCGGUGAAAUGCGUAGAUAUCGUAAGGAAGACCAGUGGCGAAGGCGGGUCUCUGGACAGUUCCUGACGCUGAGGCACGAAGGCCAGGGGAGCAAACGGG
rnacentral:rRNA from 1 species